rnacentral:rRNA from 1 species
UACGGAGGGCGCGAGCGUUACUCGGAAUUACUGGGCGUAAAGCGCGCGUAGGCUGUUGUGUAAGUUGGGGGUGAAGUCCCACGGCUCAACCGUGGAACAGCCCUUGAUACUGCGCGACUUGAAUCCGGGAGAGGGUGGCGGAAUUCCAGGUGUAGGAGUGAGAUCCGUAGAUAUCUGGAGGAACAUCAGUGGCGAAGGCGGCCACCUGGACCGGUAUUGACGCUGAGGCGCGAAAGCGUGGGGAGCAAACAGG